AUCCUUUUUUAGUUCGUAAACAAAGCAAUUGGGUGUUCACAGAAUAUGUACCUGGCCUCCCCUAAACCUUGUUCAGACAUUGGCACAUUACCCAUCUUAGA